rnacentral:rRNA from 2 species
AUUGAACGCUGGCGGCAGGCCUAACACAUGCAAGUCGAACGGUAACAGGAAGCAGCUUGCUGCUUCGCUGACGAGUGGCGGACGGGUGAGUAAUGUCUGGGAAACUGCCUGAUGGAGGGGGAUAACUACUGGAAACGGUAGCUAAUACCGCAUAACGUCGCAAGACCAAAGAGGGGGACCUUCGGGCCUCUUGCCAUCGGAUGUGCCCAGAUGGGAUUAGCUUGUUGGUGGGGUAACGGCUCACCAAGGCGACGAUCCCUAGCUGGUCUGAGAGGAUGACCAGCCACACUGGAACUGAGACACGGUCCAGACUCCUACGGGAGGCAGCAGUGGGGAAUAUUGCACAAUGGGCGCAAGCCUGAUGCAGCCAUGCCGCGUGUAUGAAGAAGGCCUUCGGGUUGUAAAGUACUUUCAGCGGGGAGGAAGGGAGUAAAGUUAAUACCUU